AUUUGGAAGUGUUGGGACAGAGCAUGUUGAAUGGUAGUGAAGGAAAGGACACAAGGAGAGGAGUCUAUUUGGAAGUGUUGGGACAGAGCAUGUUGAAUACUUAGAAAAUGCAUUAUUCCUCGCUUCCAAGUGAUUCCACUAAAUGUCUUUCACCUUAACCGAUGUCAGAUCAGAGUUUACACCAAGGAAGGAAUUAAGGAUGCAUUUCAUUUUUAACUAUUCAAACAGGGGCCCUUUUUCAGCUUGGUUAAAACUGACCCUGGGCUGAGUUCUAUUUCAGCUGGUGUUUCCAGACACAGCCAGGGAGGUUCCUAAGGGUCAGAACAGACAGGGAGGUUCCUACAGGGUCAGAACAGACAGGGAGGUUCCUACAGGGUCAGAACAGACAGGGAGGUUCCUACAGGGUCAGAACAGACAGGGAGGUUCCUACAGGGUCAGAACAGACAGGGAGGUUCCUACAGGGUCAAAACAGACAGGGAGGUUCCUACAGGGUCAAAACAGACAGGGAGGUUCCUACAGGGUCAAAACAGACAGGGAGGUUCCUACAGGGUCAAAACAGACAGGGAGGUCAGAAUACUCCCCCC
ensembl:lncRNA